UACGUAGGGGGCAAGCGUUAUCCGGAUUUACUGGGUGUAAAGGGAGCGUAGACGGCGAUGCAAGUCUGAAGUGAAAGCCCGGGGCUCAACCCCGGGACUGCUUUGGAAACUGUAUGGCUGGAGUGCUGGAGAGGCAAUCGGAAUUCCGUGUGUAGCGGUGAAAUGCGUAGAUAUACGGAGGAACACCAGUGGCGAAGGCGGAUUGCUGGACAGUAACUGACGCUGAGGCGCGAAAGCGUGGGGAGCAAACAGG
rnacentral:rRNA from 1 species